rnacentral:rRNA from 1 species
UACGGAGGAUCCAAGCGUUGUCCGGAUUUAUUGGGUUUAAAGGGUGCGUAGGCGGUUUGUUAAGUCAGUGGUGAAAGUUUGCGGCUCAACCGUAAAAUUGCCAUUGAAACUGACAGACUUGAAUUUGGUUGAGGUUGCCGGAAUGUGUCAUGUAGCGGUGAAAUGCUUAGAUAUGAUACAGAACACCAAUUGCGAAGGCAGGUGACUAAACCAAUAUUGACGCUGAGGCACGAAAGCGUGGGGAUCAAACAGG